rnacentral:tRNA from 1 species
GGGAAGGUGGCUCAGUGGUAGAGCAUUUGCCUUGCAUGCAUGAGGUCCUGGGUUCGAUUCCUCAGCGCCA